GACGAACGCUGGCGGCAUGUCUAAUACAUGCAAGUCGAGCGAACAGAUGAAGUGCUUGCACUUCUGACGUUAGCGGCGAACGGGUGAGUAACACGUAAGGAAUCUACCUAUAAGCGGGGGAUAACAUUCGGAAACGGGUGCUAAUACCGCAUAAUAUCUUCUUCCGCAUGGAAGAAGAUUGAAAGACGGCUCUGCUGUCACUUAUAGAUGACCUUGCGGUGCAUUAGUUAGUUGGUGGGGUAACGGCCUACCAAGACGAUGAUGCAUAGCCGACCUGGGAGGGUGCUCGGCCACAUUGGGACUGAGACACGGCCCAAACGCCUACGGGAGUCAGCAGUAGGGAAUCUUCCGCAAUGGGCGAAAGCCUGACGGAGCAAUGCCGCGUGAGUGAAGAAGGCCUUCGGGUCGUAAAACUCUGUUAUAAGAGAAGAACAAAUUGUAGAGUAACUGCUACAGUCUUGACGGUAUCUUAUCAGAAAGCCACGGCUAACUACGUGCCAGCCGCCGCCGUAA
rnacentral:rRNA from 1 species